UACGGGGGGAGCAAGCGUUGUCCGGAUUUAUUGGGCGUAAAGAGCGUGUAGGCGGCUAGGUAGGUCCGUUGUGAAAACUCGAGGCUCAACCUCGAGACGUCGAUGGAAACCAUCUAGCUAGAGUCCGGAAGAGGAGAGUGGAAUUCCUGGUGUAGCGGUGAAAUGCGCAGAUAUCAGGAAGAACACCCGUGGCGAAGGCGGCUCUCUGGUACGUGACUGACGCUGAGACGCGAAAGCGUGGGGAGCAAACAGG
rnacentral:rRNA from 1 species